GGAAAGAUGAAAAGAACUUUGAAAAGAGAGUUAAACAGUACGUGAGAUUGUUGAAAGGGAAACGAUUGAAGUCAGUCAUACCAACGGGAAAUCAACCUUUUGAGCUUUGUCUCGUGGGUUCGAAGAGUUUAAACGCCUUCGGGUUCGCGAGAUUGGGAUCUUCUGGUGUACUUUCUCGUACGGUUAGUCAACAUCGGUUUUGAAUGUCAUAAAAUGACUGGAGGAAUGUAGCUUCGAUCUCGUAUCGAAGUGUUAUAGCCUUUGGUAGAUGUGAUGUUUGAGACCGAGGAUUGCAACGGAUACCCUUCAUGGGCUAUUCGUCUGAUCUCUGAUACGUUGCCUUGACGUUGAAAGCUUGCUUAUGAUGUUAGGGUAUUACGGUCAAAAGGUUAGAACGGAUUAAAUCCGUUAAGGAUGUUGACGUAAUGACUUUAAACGACCCGUCUUGAAACACGGACCA
rnacentral:rRNA from 1 species